UCCUACGGGAGGCAGCAGUGGGGAAUCUUGCGCAAUGGGCGAAAGCCUGACGCAGCGACGUCGCGUGCGGGAAGAAGGCCUUCGGGUUGUAAACCGCUUUCAGGAGGGACGAAGCCACUCGGGUUAAUAGCCCAGAGGGUGACGGUACCUCCAGAAGAAGCCCCAGCUAACUACGUGCCAGCAGCCGCGGUAAU
rnacentral:rRNA from 1 species